GACAGAGGUGCCGAGCGUUAGGCGGAAUCACUGGGCUUAAAGCGCGUGUAGGCGGUCCGGUAAGUCCGCUGUGAAAGUCGGGGGCUCAACCCUCGGAUGCCGGUGGAUACUGUCGGGCUUGAGUACGGAAGAGGCGAGUGGAAUUCCUGGUGUAACGGUGAAAUGCGCAGAUAUCAGGAGGAACACCAAUUGCGAAGGCAGCUCGCUGGGACGUUACUGACGCUGAGACGCGAAAGCGUGGGGAGCAAACAGG
rnacentral:rRNA from 1 species